AUAUAUAUAUAUAUAUAUAUAUAUAUAUAUAUAUAUAUAUAUUUAUAUUUAUUUAUCCAAAAUCUUGCAGUGUGUUCUGCGAUUGGCCUUCUCAAAUCUUUUCUCAGAAAUUGGCAAAGGAUGCAUGUGGUGCUGCUUUACAAUUUGGCCAAAAAAGAGGCAUCUUAGAAGGUAGCAAAAUUAAUUUGCCUACCUUUUGGAACAGCCUUCAUGCCUUUGAUCCCUCAAAAUGCCUCCUCAAUAGGUAGCUCACUUGGUUCUGGAACAGAGCGCAUCUUUGCACGAGGGGAACAUAAGCAGUUAGCCACAGAUGUGUGGCGAGAAGCUUGUUUAUUUUUCGUAAUCAGGUUUACGAGCCCCUCUUUCACUCGCCUCGUCUCAGGGAAGGAUGAAUUUGGUAUGCAUACUGUGCAUCACGCCUCAAGGUUAACGACACUUCAGAGGAGUCAGAAGCACACAGAGAAAGAGAGAGCAAAAUAUUGCACAAUCCCCCCUAUUAGGGGAAGGAGAAUACCAUCGCAGAGCCAAAGCAUCGGCCCACAUCUACUCAGCGUGACAUGUAUGUUGGAGGCCAGGGUUAAGACAGGACCCCUACCCCCGUCUGAAUGUGUGUAUGUGUGUGUGUGUGCUUGGGAUGCUGGGCACGUCUUCGUCCGAUGGAUUCUUCCGGCCCGGGGAGCCUCAUUAGAACAACUUGUGCAGCAGCUUUAAAGCCGGGAUAAGCUUAGCAGGCAGGCGCUGCCGAUAAAAGAGUUAUGUAUCACGUUCUUACACAAGCAUGACAAAAAGCCCCCUUAUCCAGGUGCCACGCAAGCCUGAACUCCUACAGCUCACUGCCGAGGACAACGGUGCCGAAUCUGUGCAAAUUGUUCUUAGUCGAUCCUUCUGCAUUGAGAGGAAACAAUAAUAAGUUUGUCAGAAAAUGGAAUGGAUUUAGCCUGGGCUUUUUGUGAUUGUAAUACGCUUUUAACUUGAUUUGUUUCAAUGCAAUAUGUUUUAAGUCGAAAUGGAAAAAAAAAUGACAGCUAGGCUUUAAGGCAUAAAUUAAGUCUGUGGAAAUAAUUUGCUUAAACUGUGCUUAAUUCUAUUCCGAGCCUAGCACACGCAUACAUUUCACGUUUUCAGAGGUUGUUUUAGUUUCUUUCCCUAAACUCUGAAAACCAAACAAAUAUUUUGAGAUCCAAUAUUUUUUAUUUGCUGUGUGGCCUGGACCGUGUUUUCUCUUUAAAUUGGGUUUUCUUAGAAGAACGUAUGCGAUGCUGUAACCUCUUUUCAUUGAUUUGCCAUUAAUAAAAUUCAGUGUACAGGGGGAAAAUACAAUAUCUGACACUGUGUCCAAAUCACAACACUGGUACUGUAAUGUAAAUAUAUUUCUGCUGCAGACGGUGGUACGUUGGAGAUGUAAUAUUCAAAGUGUACUGCCAUAUCAAAGUCAUUUUCCUUCUAUUGUGCACUUACUAUCAUUGCUGAACAUGAAAGUGAAAUGUACUGUGUGCCUUUAUCAAUAUUAAUGAGGAGGUAAUAAUGAAUAUGCAUUUUCAUUCCGGGAGAGCCAUACAGCUAAUAAGCCAUGAUCUGGUGAAAUGAGAUGCAAAUGUUUUUCAUUAAUAAAAUAUAUUACUGUGAGUGCUUCUUGUGUAUGCAUCUCUUCAAUACUUACAAAAGAUUAUUCCCACAAUCAUUUCUCAUAUGAAUGCUUCCUUUCGGUGGCCACUUCCAACGUGGCUGCCAAAAAUCUCAGAUCUGUAAGAAAAACGAUGCCUAAUAAAAGUACACCCCGAUACUUUUGAAUAAAACAUAUU
ensembl:lncRNA